ensembl:lncRNA
GUCUUAAGUCAAAAUGAAGAGAAGCUUUCAUCUUUGAGGAAGAAGAAUGGAUGUCAUGGAUACACAUGUAAACAUGCCACCCAUAGACUAGUUAUUUCACAGCUACAUUUACAGAAGCGAGUGGCGUUUUAUAAAAAUCCUGCCAUAUUCCAUUUUAGCUUAAUUUUAUUUGAAUAGCUAUUUUUUAAACAAUGCCAAAAAGUCCAGUAUUAGGAACGGAGUGCUUACUGGGUGACCCGACGUUGGAAGAGGAAUUCGGGCGGUUAAAAAAGCGAGAUUUGACAGAGACGUACCUAUUUCAAGUGGCAUGUGGUUCUUUGGGAUCACAGAAAUGCAGUGGUGGUGCCCUUAGGAAGCAUAUGAUGGAUAAGAUAAAAAUAUCAACUCGUCCACAGCCGAAACAACUAGACGCUCAACCUGCUAUACCUGCAUCUGCCCGCAGAGGCGCCGCCGAGUCCUACUCGCGUGUCCCUGGAGGCAAACCCGCGGAGCACCCGGACUGGAUCAGGGACAGGAAAGCGUUCAGAGAAGCGCUUGAAGGGAUGGGGGACCUGCGCAGAUGGCUCCACAAUAAACCCAUUCUUACCGACUUGGAGGUUCUCGUUAUGGAACGAGAGAGACAAGCUAAGCGGAUGUCAUCACUCCCUCCAGAAACAUGCAUUGUUCCAUCAGCACCAGAUGCUGUCACUUCUCCGUGCGAGCUUAGACGUGAAGUUGAAGAAGUGAACAGCUUUCUGUGCAUGUGCGAACCCUGCAACCUCUCCAAACUCUUGGACUGGAACAAGACUGGUAAAUUACAGCGUGUAGACCUCUGUGCUCAAUUUAAGAAGGAAGGCUUCUUCAUACAACCUGAUCGGUUGAAUGUGCUGAUGUCCUCUUUGAAUAGUAAAGAUGGAAACUCAGUAACUGUUGAAGACCUGUCUGCUGGUAUUCAGGCCUGGAGCAGAAAGCAUCAGGAAAAUGAAGAUCAGCAAACAAACCCAGGUCAUUGGAAUGCAGACUGUGAGAAAAGGAUAGGGUCGAGACAUUAUCUUCCAAUACGUGGAGAGGAGAAAGAUGACCAGGAGGGUAUGCAGGAUGUGGAGGUGUUAGCGAUCAUGCGGAGAGUUCUGGCAGCCACCAAGACCUCUUGCCCUUCUUCUCUGAGUGGCCCUGUGGGUAGAGAAGUGGAUCGUUUCAGGAGACUUUGUUUCAGAGAAUACCUGAAAUCACUGGAGCAAUGCCAACAACAAGCACUUAAUGUGAGCCAGGCCACACUACAGAAAGUCCUGUUGUACCCUGGUGACAUGAGCAUGUCUAGCAUCUUCAAAUUGGGAGGGAAAGGUCACUUCAGGACAACCAAAACUCAUCAAGCUGAAGGUGGAGCACAUAAGGGCCACAAAAAGAUGAAGAAGCAGCCGGUUUGCUGGGCGGACCCUAAUGCUUUCUGGCCUGGAAGGGAAGAUCAUGUGCGCUUGUUCCUGCCUGUAAUUACAAGCUCUCCUGCAAUGGCUUUAUUUCAGCGUAUCGAAACUACUGUUUUGCCAAGUCCUGGCCACUGGCCUGUAAACCAUUUAGGAUACUCAACCUCUGGAGACAUAGAAGCUCGCAAAAUGUACACCCUCUAGAAUAACUUUUACCAUAUUGAAUGUCUGUAUUAAAUAGGACAUUGUUGUUCUGACUUUCUAAAAAGCGAAUUUGUGCCAUUAGUUUGCAUGCACAAGCGUUGAAGUAAUAGGUGCGUUGAUAUUUUUGGCUGCACAGGUUUUAUUUUGUCACUCAACAUAUUCUCAUCUGUGACAGAUUGAACUAAAACAGUCAUGUUCGAUUUAAUAAAUAUAUUAUAUUAUUAUAAAAAUUUCUCUCA